GAUGAACGCUGGCGGCGUGCUUAACACAUGCAAGUCGAACGAGAAGUGCAGUCGGAAACCUUCGGGCGGAGGGCUUUAUUUCGCGUGGCGGUCGGGUGAGUAACGCUUGGGUAACCUGCCUCAUACCGGGGGCUAAUAGCUGGAAACGACUCUUAAUACCUCAUAAGACCACAGCACCGCAUGGUGCGUGGGUAAAAACUCCGGUGGUAUGAGAUGGACGCGCGUUCGUUUAGUCAGUGGGCGGGGUCACGGCCCACCCAAGCGAGGAUCGAUGGCCGAAAGGAGAGGAGGACCCGCCACGUUGGGAAUGAGACACGGCCCAAACUCGUACGGGAGGGAGCGGUAGGGAAUAUUGCGCGAGGGGGGAAACCCUGAUGAAGCGGCGCCGCGGGAGAGAAGAAGUAUGUCGGUAUGUAAAGCUCUAUCAGCAGGGAAGAAAAUGACGGUACCUGGGGAAGAAGCCCCGGCUAACUACGUG
rnacentral:rRNA from 1 species